rnacentral:rRNA from 1 species
UGCCAGCCGCCGCGGUAAUACGGAGACCUCGAGCGUUACUCGGAUUCACUGGGCGUAAAGGGUGCGUAGGCGGCCGCGUGUGUCAGGUGUGAAAUCCCGGGGCUCAACCCCGGAACUGCGCCUGAAACUAUGCGGCUAGAGUCUCGGAGAGGGUAGUGGAAUUCCGGGUGUAGCGGUGAAAUGCGUAGAUAUCCGGAGGAACACCAGUGGCGAAGGCGACUACCUGGACGAGAACUGACGCUGAGGCACGAAAGCGUGGGUAGCGAAAGGGAUUAGAUA